rnacentral:rRNA from 1 species
CUACAGAGGGUGCGAGCGUUAAUCGGAAUUACUGGGCGUAAAGCGCGCGUAGGCGGCUUAUUAAGUCAGAUGUGAAAUCCCCGGGCUCAACCUGGGAACUGCAUCUGAUACUGGUAAGCUAGAGUUUUGGAGAGGGAAGUAGAAUUUCAGGUGUAGCGGUGAAAUGCAUAGAGAUCUGAAGGAAUACCAGUGGCGAAGGCGACUUCCUGGCCAAAAACUGACGCUGAGGUGCGAAAGCGUGGGUAGCAAACGGGAUUAGAUACCCUUGUAGUCC